GAACGGUAACAGGUCUUCGGAUGCUGACGAGUGGCGAACGGGUGAGUAAUACAUCGGAACGUGCCCGAGAGUGGGGGAUAACGAAGCGAAAGCUUUGCUAAUACCGCAUACGAUCUCAGGAUGAAAGCAGGGGACCGCAAGGCCUUGCGCUCACGGAGCGGCCGAUGGCAGAUUAGGUAGUUGGUGGGAUAAAAGCUUACCAAGCCGACGAUCUGUAGCUGGUCUGAGAGGACGACCAGCCACACUGGGACUGAGACACGGCCCAGACUCCUACGGGAGGCAGCAGUGGGGAAUUUUGGACAAUGGGCGCAAGCCUGAUCCAGCCAUGCCGCGUGCAGGAUGAAGGCCUUCGGGUUGUAAACUGCUUUUGUACGGAACGAAAAGACUCUGGUUAAUACCUGGGGUCCAUGACGGUACCGUAAGAAUAAGCACCGGCUAACUACGUGCCAGCAGCCGCGGUAAUACGUAGGGUGCGAGCGUUAAUCGGAAUUACUGGGCGUAAAGCGUGCGCAGGCGGUUAUGUAAGACAGAUGUGAAAUCCCCGGGCUCAACCUGGGAACUGCAUUUGUGACUGCAUAGCUAGAGUACGGCAGAGGGGGAUGGAAUUCCGCGUGUAGCAGUGAAAUGCGUAGAUAUGCGGAGGAACACCGAUGGCGAAGGCAAU
rnacentral:rRNA from 1 species